UGGCUCAGUUGGUAGAGCAUGGUGUGUGCAAUGCUAAGGUUGUGGGUUCGAUUCCCAC
rfam:Salmo salar isolate Sally breed double haploid chromosome ssa24, whole genome shotgun sequence.